AUCCUGGCUACCUGAGGCUUUCUGAAGUGCCUGUAGAAGACAAUCCAGGCAGGAAGUAAACAAGGGACAACAGUGAAGAACCUCAGGACCACUCAUCCCAGACUCCUCUGACAUCCCCUAAACAGAGUGUGUUUCCAGAGACCAAGCUUGCUGAGCAUGGGAGGAUAGUUCUCUCCAUGAGCAUGUGUAUGUGCACUUGUCCUUGUUGACUGUACACCAAUCCUGCUAGCAAGGCACAAUCCAAUUUGCUGUUUCCUUUCAACUGGAUCAACAUCAUUGCCUCCUGCUGAAGUUAUUAGGAGGGAUCAGGUGAUGUCUGGGUUGCUGGCCAGUGGUAGUGAAGCCAGAAGCGAAGUGUGUGUGAGAACCAGGGGCAUUGAAUGUGGUUUCCUCUUGCAAAGCAGAGGACUGCUAUAUCGUAGCCAUGACAUUGGAACGAUGCUGGAACUGAAUCAGUGAAGCAUAAAUAUGCCACACUAAAAACAUACUUAAGCCAGAAGUGCUACAAGGGAACAGAGAUGGAUGGCCAACAGCAGGACAGCCAUCCAAACCUGCCUUUAAGUUAUGUCUUCUGCACGCUGAAGCAAAUGGCCCUCAACUCAGAAAAACAUGUGAAAUGAACUGGGUUCCACUGGUGCUCCCCAGGGAGCUGUGAUACUUCCAUGUAUCCUCCAGAGACAGGAAUGGUCAAUGGUUGGCACCCAGCUGGAUUCACAGUGCUGGAACACUAAAUCGGCACCAAAGAUGGACAAAAGGAAUGAGGUGGAAGAACUGUGUAUUCUGGAGGCACUCAGAGUAACAAAGCCUUUUCUUUAAAGUUAAGCAGUGGUAUACUCAGUGCAGUGGAAGCCAGCUACCCUUGCUCCCACCCCUAACCAUGAAGCCAUGGAUUCACACUUCAACUCUCCUUCCCAGCCUGUCCCAAUUAUUAUUUAAUUAUUUCAAGGGAUUGGAACAGCUCCAGGGAAUGAAGCACACAUCACUGCUCCAGCAAGCUCUAUGCUUUUGUGACCCAGAAAAUGGUUUAAAUCUAUAUGCAGAGAGAGAGAAGCGUAGUAUUGUUUCCCAUAAAUCAGUUUCCUCAGCAGUUACCCUACAGAAUAGUGAGGAAGCAUUAAUUUUGGAGGGGACAGAGCCUGGUCUUGAGAGUGUGCUCUGAGCAUAACUGCGGUCCCAGACCCACCAGGGAGCUCCAAUUUGUGCAAUGGGAUAAGGCUGAAGAACCAGCUGGGCACUGGGAAGUGUGGUCCUCUGAAAACUGUGAAGUGCUAUUGGCAGACCUUGGACUACUUGAAAAUGCUAAUGUAAAAAGACAUUUGCAGCUCUGAAUGUUGGAGACCUCCUGAACUCUGCAGAACAGGAGUUUUUCACUCUGGAGCCCCAAGCAGUGCUAAGGCAACCAGCAGCUCCAUGCAGAAGUAGAGCUGUGCACUUGCAUCUGCAAAACAGGUGUGAUGAGGUGAAAAAUGCUACGAGUGUGAAGUGCUUCAUGUUGUGGCAGUAGGAGCAACUUGAAUAACAUAGACAAGCAGAAAUAAAAAAAGGAAAAGAAC
rnacentral:lncRNA from 1 species